GAGGAGCUGGGCGGCGUGCUAUACAUGCAAGUCGAGCGAAUGGAUUAGAGAGCUUGCUCUCAAGAAGUUAGCGGCGGACGGGUGAGUAACACGUGGGUAACCUGCCCAUAAGACUGGGAUAACUCCGGGAAACCGGGGCUAAUACCGGAUAACAUUUUGAACUGCAUGGUUCGAAAUUGAAAGGCGGCUUCGGCUGUCACUUAUGGAUGGACCCGCGUCGCAUUAGCUAGUUGGUGAGGUAACGGCUCACCAAGGCAACGAUGCGUAGCCGACCUGAGAGGGUGAUCGGCCACACUGGGACUGAGACACGGCCCAGACUCCUACGGGAGGCAGCAGUAGGGAAUCUUCCGCAAUGGACGAAAGUCUGACGGAGCAACGCCGCGUGAGUGAUGAAGGCUUUCGGGUCGUAAAACUCUGUUGUUAGGGAAGAACAAGUGCUAGUUGAAUAAGCUGGCACCUUGACGGUACCUAACCAGAAAGCCACGGCUAACUACGUGCCAGCAGCCGCGGUAAUACGUAGGUGGCAAGCGUUAUCCGGAAUUAUUGGGCGUAAAGCGCGCGCAGGUGGUUUCUUAAGUCUGAUGUGAAAGCCCACGGCUCAACCGUGGAGGGUCAUUGGAAACUGGGAGACUUGAGUGCAGAAGAGGAAAGUGGAAUUCCAUGUGUAGCGGUGAAAUGCGUAGAGAUAUGGAGGAACACCAGUGGCGAAGGCGACUUUCUGGUCUGUAACUGACACUGAGGCGCGAAAGCGUGCG
rnacentral:rRNA from 1 species